AGGAGGAACAACCACAGUGGCCGCGGCCAGCUCUGGAGCCCUGGAUUCAGCUCCCGCAGUAGCUACAGAGCUCUUGGGCUGCAGGGACCUGGGGGCUCCCGGGGGGG
rnacentral:pre_miRNA from 1 species